UGAACGCUGGCGGCAGGCCUAACACAUGCAAGUCGAACGGUAACAGGAAGCAGCUUGCUGCUUUGCUGACGAGUGGCGGACGGGUGAGUAAUGUCUGGGAAACUGCCUGAUGUAGGGGGAUAACUACUGGAAACGGUAGCUAAUACCGCAUAACGUCGCAAGACCAAAGAGGGGGACCUUCGGGCCUCUUGCCAUCGGAUGUGCCCAGAUGGGAUUAGCUUGUUGGUGGGGUAACGGCUCACCAAGGCGACGAUCCCUAGCUGGUCUGAGAGGAUGACCAGCCACACUGGAACUGAGACACGGUCCAGACUCCUACGGGAGGCAGCAGUGGGGAAUAUUGCACAAUGGGCGCAAGCCUGAUGCAGCCAUGCCGCGUGUAUGAAGAAGGCCUUCGGGUUGUAAAGUACUUUCAGCGGGGAGGAAGGGAGUAAAGUUAAUACCUUUACUCAUUGACGUUACCCGCAGAAGAAGCACCGGCUAACUCCGUG
rnacentral:rRNA from 1 species